GGGGUAAUGGCCUACCAAGACGAUGAUGUGUAGCCGGGCUGAGAGGUCGAACGGCCACAUUGGGACUGAGACACGGCCCAAACUCCUACGGGAGGCAGCAUUAAGGAAUUUUCGGCAAUGGAGGAAACUCUGACCGAGCAAUGCCGCGUGAACGAUGAAGUAUUUCGGUACGUAAAGCUCUUUUAUUAGGGAAGAAAAGAUGGUGGAAAAACCAUUAUGACGGUACAUAAUGAAUAAGCCCCGGCUAACUAUGUGCCAGCAGCCGCGGUAAUACAUAGGGGGCAAGCGUUAUCCGGAAUUAUUGGGCGUAAAGGGUGCGUAGGCGGUUAAAUAAGUUUAUGGUCUAAGUGCAACGCUCAACGUUGUGAUGCUAUAAAAACUGUUUAGCUAGAGUUGGAUAGAGGCAAGUGGAAUUCCGUGUGUAGUGGUAAAAUGCGUAAAUAUACGGAGGAACACCAGAAGCGAAGGCGGCUUGCUGGGUCUUAACUGACGCUGAGGCACGAAAGCGUGGGGAGCAAACAGGAUUAGAUACCCUGGUAGUCCACGCCCUAAACGAUGAGUACUAAACGUUGGAUAAAACCAGUGUUGAAGUUAACACAUUAAGUACUCCGCCUGAGUAGUACGUACGCAAGUAUGAAACUUAAAGGGAUUGACGGGACUCCGCACAAGCGGUGGAUCAUGUUGUUUAAUUCGAAGGUACCCGAAAAACCUCACCAGGUCUUGACAUGCUUUUGCAAAGCUGUAGAAAUACAGUGGAGGUUAUCAGAAGCACAGGUGGUGCAUGGUUGUCGUCAGCUCGUGUCGUGAGAUGUUGGGUUAAGUCCCGCAACGAGCGCAACCCUUGUUGUUAAUUGCCAUCAUUACGUUGGGGACUUUAGCAAGACUGCCAAUGAUAAAUUGGAGGAAGGUGGGGACGACGUCAAAUCAUCAUGCCCCUUAUGACCUGGGCUACAAACGUGAUACAAUG
rnacentral:rRNA from 1 species